CUGGCUCAGGAUGAACGCUAGCGAUAGGCUUAACACAUGCAAGUCGAGGGGCAGCACGGGAUUAGCUUGC
rnacentral:rRNA from 1 species